rnacentral:rRNA from 1 species
AUUGAACGCUGGCGGUAGGCCUAACACAUGCAAGUCGGACGGUAGCACAGAGGAGCUUGCUCCUCGGGUGACGAGUGGCGGACGGGUGAGUAAUGUCUGAGGAUCUGCCCGAUAGAGGGGGAUAACCACUGGAAACGGUGGCUAAUACCGCAUAACGUCGCAAGACCAAAGAGGGGGACCUUCGGGCCUCUCACUAUCGGAUGAACCCAGAUGGGAUUAGCUAGUAGGCGGGGUAAUGGCCCACCUAGGCGACGAUCCCUAGCUGGUCUGAGAGAAUGACCAGCCACACUGGAACUGGGACACGGUCCAGACUCCUACGGGAGGCAGCAGUGGGGAAUAUUGCACAAGGGGCGCAAGCCUGAUGCAGCCAUGCCGCGUGUAUGAAGAAGGCCUUCGGGUUGUAAAGUACUUUCAGCGGGGAGGAAGGCGAUGUGGUUAAUAACCUUGUCGAUUGACGUUACCCGCAGAAGAAGCACCGGCUAACUCCGUGCCAGCCGCCGCCGUAA